GAGACAGAGUCUUGUCUAAAAUCCAUGUUCCGCUGUCUGGUCUCACCCAGGACAGAUUAAAUCAACAGCCCCACCAGAAGAGAGAGCACCCUGUGGUUACCUCCGCGGAGGGUUGGCGUUGGAAAGGCUUGUCCUAACCAUGGUAUGACUCUGUGCUCAUUACGACGGCACCCAGCCCCAUAGCACCCCCAACCACCCAGUGGCAGUGAUGAGACCAGUUGUUCGGGUGAACCCAACCGAAUUGUGUAACGUGCCCCCCAGCCGUGCUCGGACCUUAGAGAGAGGGGGCUGCCUGCAGAGAGGAGCACGGAGGCUAUGGGGAUGGGCGUCUGGCAAACACCUUUGAUAGUUCCAAGGAGAUGCUACGUCACUGACAGCUGCUGGCAGAGCUCCUUCCCCUGACAGCACUGGACCUGACAGGCUUUCGCUGCCAAGGAGUGGAACCAGCUGUGCGGAAGGCAAAGAUGGCAGGCUGGAGACCAAAAUCCUCAAAUCGCUUCUGGGAUAGAUACAGCGCUGGACCUCAUGGUGCUCCGCAAAAGUGCCUCCACUCUGAGCUAGAGGGGCCCUGUGGAAUUCAGCCUUCGUGACCAACUUUCAGCUUUGGCCUCCCCACCGAGACCUCCAAGAAGGGCUCCAACAAGUGGCAGUUGUGGGAGUGGUUUGUGUGAUGUGCACACAUCCAUACGAAUGGCACUGAGAUCCUCAUCUCCUGUUAUAUGGGGAAACCAAACCGCCAUGAGGAGGGAAGAACUUCUAGCUUUCACUGACCUGGGCUUUAAACUGGUGACCAUAGAGGUAAGACUGUAUUACAGGACCAGCUGAAUCCCAUUGAAAUUAAUGGAAAGCUGACUUCAGUGUGUAGGACCUGGCCUCUAUAGCACAGCACCAAAGAUAACCCUCUGACCCUCUUCCUGGCCAGGCCUGAUGGUGAGUUUGUCAUCAAGCUAAAACUACAUUUCCCUCAUUUUUCUGUCCAUCUUACUUGUGCCCCUGGGUUGUGGGUAAUGACUUGUUGUGUCCUCCCCAUGCUGUGUGCCACGGUGGAGGAGGAAUUUACUGUGGUGGGGAGAAGGGGUGGUGUUUUCUAUUGUCUAUGCUGGUUUAUUUCAAGGAAGAAUUUUCUCAUCUUGUGUUUGGAGCAGAUUUAAACCCUGUGAUGUUCAAUUCAUACCUCUAACGUGCCUUACAGCCCACACAGUUAGCCUUUUGUUGUAAUCCAAUCUGCAUUCCUGUAGUAAUAACUCUUAGCUCUGCUUCAGCUCCUUCCACAGGAGGAGCUCGGAACCCCACAAAAUUACUUGAUGGAAAUAGGAGAACUAUCAAUAAUACAGAAAAGGCAGAAGAGUUCAAUAAAUCUGUUCUGUGUUUGGGGGAAAAAGACAUUAUGUCAGAACUCUUUCCAUUCCACUAGUAUCUUGGAAGGAUGUUAAACGGCAGCUACUAAAGUAUACACUUUUAAAUCAGUUGAUCUAGAUAACUUGUACCCAAGAGUUUCAAAAGAGCUGGCUGAGGAGUUCGCUGGACCAUUAAUAUUGAUUUUCAAUAAGUCUUGGAACAGCAGGAAAGUUCUAGAAGAAAGCUAAUGUUAUGCUAACAUUUAAAAAGGGUAAAUGGGAUGACACAGAUAAUUAUAGGUUUACUGGUCUGACAUCAAUCCUGUACAAGAUAAUCAAGUGGUUGA